GGGGGUAUGGCGGAAUCGGUAGACGCUGCGGACUUAAAAUUCGUUGGCUUUAUAGACCGUGAGGGUUCGAGUCCCUCUACCCCCA
rnacentral:tRNA from 1 species